UACAGAGGUCCCAAGCGUUGUUCAGAUUCACUGGGCGUAAAGAGCGUGUAGGCGGCUAGAUAGGUCCGUUGUGAAAACUCGAGGCUCAACCUCGAGACGUCGAUGGAAACCAUCUGGCUAGAGUCCGGAAGAGGAGAGUGGAAUUCCUGGUGUAGCGGUGAAAUGCGCAGAUAUCAGGAAGAACACCCGUGGCGAAGGCGGCUCUCUGGUACGUGACUGACGCUGAGACGCGAAAGCGUGGGGAGCAAACAGG
rnacentral:rRNA from 1 species